UACGAAGGGGGCUAGCGUUGCUCGGAAUGACUGGGCGUAAAGGGCGCGUAGGCGGUUUGUUAAGUCAGGGGUGAAAUCCCGGAGCUCAACUCCGGAACUGCCUUUGAUACUGGCAAGCUAGAGUCCGGAAGAGGUAAGUGGAACUCCUAGUGUAGAGGUGGAAUUCGUAGAUAUUAGGAAGAACACCAGUGGCGAAGGCGGCUUACUGGUCCGGAACUGACGCUGAGGUGCGAAAGCGUGGGGAGCAAACAGG
rnacentral:rRNA from 1 species